rnacentral:piRNA from 1 species
UCACACAACAAAUGACGUCUCUGCUGCCC